UUCCUCUUACUAGGAUUUCUGUCUCCUUGUACACAAAUUGCCUGUUUAUAGGCCCUCUUUCAAAAUCAAUACAAUUUCAUUUCCAAAAAGAUGCUUUUGUUUUACUUUCUCUGUUUUGUUUGCGUAAACGUCCAUUGAUUUAACUUGAAUUGAUAUAUGCAUUUGAAUAUGAUCAAUGUUUAUCAAAAUACAUGCAUAAAAUAGCAAUGGCAGUUACUAAAAGACUUCAG
rnacentral:lncRNA from 1 species